ACGAACGCUGGCGGCGUGCUUAACACAUGCAAGUCGAACGGAAAGGCCCUGCUUUUGUGGGGUGCUCGAGUGGCGAACGGGUGAGUAACACGUGAGUAACCUGCCCUUGACUUUGGGAUAACUUCAGGAAACUGGGGCUAAUACCGGAUAGGAGCUCCUGCUGCAUGGUGGGGGUUGGAAAGUUUCGGCGGUUGAGGAUGGACUCGCGGCUUAUCAGCUUGUUGGUGGGGUAGUGGCUUACCAAGGCUUUGACGGGUAGCCGGCCUGAGAGGGUGACCGGCCACAUUGGGACUGAGAUACGGCCCAGACUCCUACGGGAGGCAGCAGUGGGGAAUAUUGCACAAUGGGCGGAAGCCUGAUGCAGCAACGCCGCGUGCGGGAUGACGGCCUUCGGGUUGUAAACCGCUUUCGCCUGUGACGAAGCGUGAGUGACGGUAAUGGGUAAAGAAGCACCGGCUAACUACGUG
rnacentral:rRNA from 1 species